GACGAACGCUGGCGGCGUGCCUAAUACAUGCAAGUUGAGCGCUGAAGGUUGGUACUUGUACCAACUGGAUGAGCAGCGAACGGGUGAGUAACGCGUGGGGAAUCUGCCUUUGAGCGGGGGACAACAUUUGGAAACGAAUGCUAAUACCGCAUAAAAACUUUAAACACAAGUUUUAAGUUUGAAAGAUGCAAUUGCAUCACUCAAAGAUGAUCCCGCGUUGUAUUAGCUAGUUGGUGAGGUAAAGGUUCACCAAGGCGAUGAUACAUAGCCGACCUGAGAGGGCGAUCGGCCACAUUGGGACUGAGACACGGCCCAAACUCCUACGGGAGGCAGCAGUAGGGAAGCUUCGGCAAUGGACGAAAGUCUGACCGAGCAACGCCGCGUGAGUGAAGAAGGUUUUCGGAUCGUAAAACUCUGUUGGUAGAGAAGAACGUUGGUGAGAGUGGAAAGCUCAUCAAGUGACGGUAACUACCCAGAAAGGGACGGCUAACUACGUG
rnacentral:rRNA from 1 species